AGCUUUGCACAGUGGCAGUAUCGUAGCCAAUGAGGUUUAUCAGAGGCGCGAUUAUUACUAAAAAUCAAUAAAAACAAUAC
rnacentral:snRNA from 1 species